rnacentral:lncRNA from 1 species
UCAAGCUGAGGCUGAAUUCUGGAGGAAGUCAGAGGGAUACAGAGUGGGAUGGAGUGAUGAAAUUCUGGGCUUUGAUUGUGGUGGUCAACAGUGGGUUUCAGAAACUUGUUUUCCAGUUGGAACCCUUUCCAAACCGAGCUUGAAAGACCUUGAAUACAUAGAAGAUGUAAAGCAGCUCAUAGAGAAGAACGAGGUACCAGCACCUGCUCCAAUAGAGCAGCGCUGGACAGCAUGCACUAAGAGCCCCAUGAGUCCAGCUUCAAGUACAAAAGACGAUGAUAUAUUUUCGUGGGUAAUUUCAUGAACCAAUGUUUCUUCGCAUUGUUCUUUAUAUCUCUUGGGUUAAUUGCAUAUGCAUAUCUUGAAUUAGAAAGGUGUCAGUGGUAUAAAAACGUUAAUCACUUGUUGACCAUGCAUACAAGACAAUUUUAGGGUUAAGGUUUUUUUUUUUUUUUUUUACCUUGAUAAAGCAUGAUAGAUGAAUUGGUGGUACAAGUCUUCUGGGGUUUAGUGUAAAAGUAUGUUCCCUUUACAUUGAACAUACGGAGGAUGUUUGUGCUUAUUGCUGGUGUUUCUGGCAUAGGUUCUAACAUGAACAUGACAUAUUUAUUAAAUAGGUAGCACAUCUCUACCUGUGUAACCUGUUAAUAAACAGAUUUCAUCCAGAACCCAUUGACCCGUGUAAUAAAUGGAUCUUGUUAAUGAUAUGACAUGAUACAACCCACUUGAAAUAGGUCACCAUUUAACACCUUUAUGAGAAUUCAACCUACUUCGCUUGUAUUUGUUUUUAUAAGAACCAAACUUUAUGAGUAAAGUGACAGAAAAUACGUAGGAUGAACAAGAAGUCCGUCAAAAACUAAUUUGUCUACGACCAAAAAAAAAAAAAACUCCAAAGAAUGAAAAAGAUGAGGUACUAUAGUAUCUUAAUUUUGUACACCUAUUUAACUUGUUUAGUAUCUUGUAUCUUACAUCCAACCCAACAACAGUUGACAAUGGGUAGAGACGCCCAAGGGCAUCAUGUAUCUUAGUACUACUCUGCGAGGCUUUACUUCCACGAUGUGGUACAGUACUCUCAACACUAUAUACAAAUUAUAAAUUAAGAAUGCGCACCCAAUUUUAAUAGGAAUAGAAUUGGCCAAUGGUACUUUUAGGUUUUUUCAACUACUAAAAGUAAAUACUUAAUUUUGCAUUGGACAAUUGAGAAAAAGGUUUUUGUGAAAAUGAUUUAAAUGUGACAAAAAACAAUCAACCACCAAGUAAAUAAGUGUAGUAACAUACAAUGAUCAUAUUAGUAUCCAUAUCCUUAUUUGGGGCCGUAUCUGUAUUGGAUACUCACCCUGGCCAAAAUAUUACACACCUCUGCUAUGUUACAUGUAUGUGGAAUUAGUUAACUCUCUUAUCAAAUGCUGUUACCAACUACAAUGCUCAUGUGUAAAAGCUGUUUUAAAUUUUGUAUCAGGUUGGUAUAAUCAUGUACCUUCCUACAACGGAUGCCCGCCAAAGAAAGGAAAUUACAGAAGAGUUUUUCCACUACAGGCGUCUGACCCAAGUACAGUUGUGGGAUAAGUAUUCCGCUUAUGAACACUGGGCAAAGAUUGAGGUAUUAAAUGUCAUCUUAGAUGAUUGUCUUCGUAGAAUCUUUCUAAAAUGAUGUUACCACCAUGAUAUUAUGGAAUCCUGAAGAGUGAAUUUAUUGUUUUCAAUACCCUCAAACUCAUGCUAAAUUUCCAACAUCUUAGCAAACUUAAUUUUUUACAGGGUUUGCAUUCACUUGCAAUCUCAACAACAAAUUUUUUUCUAAGGCAACACCUUUUGUAACGUGUCCAGAUUAAAGUUGUUUUGUAGCUGAUCAAGCUGCUUCUUUUAGGAAUUCUACCAAUUUAUCUUUUGUAAAAUGGCUGAAUAAAACAUGUUAUAUUAUCACUGUUGUGCAUUUUAUUUAGACAUGCGUAUCGUGCACAGGUUCCAAAGGACAAAGAAGAGCUUGCCUCUCUCCAGGCCAGGCUAAGAAAGCGUUUUCCAGUUGAUGCAUACAAUAAAGCACGAAAGGAGUUGGACCCGAGCAGGAUCCUUUCAAAUAACAAGCUGGAAAAGCUGUUCCCAUUAUCAGAUACCAUUUGAGAAGCAUCCUUCAGUGGUUAGUUAUUGAUUAAUAUGGCUUUUCACUAAAUUUGAAUGCAUUUUAGCUUCAAUAAAAAAAAAUUCCGCCAAAUCUGCCUUGAGCAUCUUUAGACCUAGGAAUAUAACUGUAAAUUUAAGGGGAAACAUGAGAUGCGAUGUGGUGUAUUAUUACGUUUAUUGAUAAUGGUAAAAAGGAAAAACCUUUUGGACACAGCCUUCGAUCUCAAAUAUAUUGACUUUCUCGAUAAAAAUUGCUUGUUUGAAAAAUUGGGAAGUGCCAAAACAAUUCAAUUAGGGUCUAUGUGUGUGUACCUCGCAUACCCUGAGUAAUAGUGAGCAAAUAUUGUGUAGAAAAUAUGUUUAACCCAUUCAAAAAAGUGGGGUGUAUGUCAAAUGUUCUUGUUGCGUUGAUGUAACUUGUAUAAUGUACUUACGUAUAAGGAGAAUAGACAGACGCAGGGAAAAAUAAGAAGAGAGCAGAAAAGGAAAAUAUGAUGGUAUAUUAUUACAAUAUGUGGAUACACAGGGAAAAAUAAUAACAGUCAGGCAACCGCCCCAAGCUAAACAAAGAUACAAGAGUAAGCUAGGAAGCUAUUAUGGUAGUCGUGCUUAUGGUAAAUUCAGAAGCAUUCCUCACAAAGCCAACAGCAGCAUAAGGCGAAGAGGCUGCACCAAUAGAUAUCACAAAAAGAAACAAAAUGAUUAGCAUCAAUUGACAGGACUAGGGAAAAAAGUAGGCAGUUUUGAAUGCUACAAGUAUAGGACGAAUAGGUUCCACUAUGAGGAGAUCCAUAGUGCUCGGGGAUGCAGUAAUUUGGGUUUUAGGUAUAAGUCCACUAAUUUCUGCAGUGAUUCUAUUGGAUUUUGGCUUGUGAGUUUUUUUAUUUUAUUUUUAUUUUUUAAUACAAUCGAUAGUCUAAACUACAAGGGGGAGGAGGUUGCUCACAUACACUACUAAUGGGCCAUGAUGUUAGAACUUGAGACCAUUGGUCUGCAAGUCAAGGCUCUUUCCCACUGGGCUAGACGCCGUUGGUGACUUAUGAGUUUGGUUGCAGGUCUCCCGCUUUUCUAAGAUUUAAGACAUUUUUACAAUGAUGAUUGAAAGGAAAAAAAACUGAUGCAAAAUAAGAUGUCUAACAACUUACCAUCCCUCAAUAAAGCCCCUGUCUCCUUUCUUUUUUGUCCGAGGCCUAAACUUCUUCCCAGUUGGGGGAUUCUCAGAUGCAGUUGGGUAUCCUUCAAACCAAAACCAUAUUUAAAAAUAAAUUAAAAUUAAAAAUUAAAAAAACAGAAGUGAGUCCUGCUAUAUCAUAAGGAUAAAAAUAAAAUUUGUCGCACAGAAAGAAGGUACCUGCUGGAGGUUGGUUCUCUUGUGCCUGUUUCUUGGCCAUCUUGGGGAAGAAACAGCAGAAGCUAUGACCUAACUUGAGACGAAAGAUCAAAUUCGAUUCAAAGAUCAGUGUCUAGGUGACUCUAGUAUAAAUCUGUAUGUGGUAGUGUAAAUGUUGAUUCAUCUAUAUAUAUAUAGAGGCUCAUGAACCCUAUAAUGGUAUAAUGGAGUAAAGAUUCUGAUAUUGGUCGGCUUCUAGUAAUGUAAUGUCUAAAGAGCCUUUUUCUAAAGGCAGAGCAUAUUGUGGAUUUGAGUUUGGUUAUGAAUCUGUCCAGCUGACAUGUGGUUCUGAUUCUUGAGAGAGGGCUCCAGAUACGUCCUUCAACUUUUGGCUACUAUCAUCUUCUCAGCAUCAAUUGUUUGAAGCCAGAUUGGUGAGCCAAAAUUUGCAUUAAAACACUGAAAUAAAGCAAAGGUUCAUCCACGUCACACAAUUCCAAAAGCAAGCAGGAAAGGCUAAUAAAAGGCAAGAAAACAAGGUCCUAAAUCCAAAAGACAUGCGGGUUGCUUUUGAUUUGGAUUCUUUACUUGCUGAAGAGGAGAAUAAAAAGCAGUGGAAAAAGCAUAAAAAGAGUCGAUAAAAGGUGUGAAAACAAGAAUUCUCUACACAGGUUUUCAAUCAGUGAUAAUUGUUCACAAUUUUAAUGCUUAUUUAUACAGAGAAUAUAUGCUUCCGCUAUUUUAUAAAAGAAAUGCAUUAAGAACAAGGUGUUCACAUUUGCUCCUGUGAGCUGCGAUUUUUUAAUUUAUCUUUAAAAAAUUUAAUAAUUUUUUUAGAGACAACUAGAUUUUUUUAAUUUUUAAUUUUAAUUUUCUCAUGCAGCUCAAAUUUUUUGUCCACAUCAGUAUCAGUAUAAAGUGGGGUUCAAAACGUGCCACAUGGGCAUAAAACAGCUGACUUGAUAAUCAACCCAGGAAAAGGCAAACAUUGCAAUGUUUUAACUUGAGGUUUAGGGUUAAUUUUAACAACUAUUAUAUUUAUUAUAAUGUGGAUUUGCAUAAUGUUAAUGGCUUAUUUAACAUGUUGAUGUGGUUUAUAAAUUGUUUUGUUGAUUUAAAAUUAUAUGGACUUUUUCGACAACAGUUCAUGGGUAAAUUGAACCUGUUUUGAUUUUAAAUGAAUUUUCUUAGUGUUUAGAGAAAUGGAUGGUAUUUUUUGGUGAAUGACCAUAUCAUGUUGUGAUUGUAUUGAUGGUAUUCACGUGUGUGUAUAUAUAUAGAAAUUCUCAUAUGCCAAUAUUCUGUCAUUAUUAUCAUGCGAACGCUAUAUAUUUUCUACUACCCCUCCAUGCUUUCUUUCCUGUUUAUAAUGACAUUCGCACGAUAAUAACGUGAGGACAUCUGGAUGAGAGAAUAACAGUAUAAUAUAACGAUGAAAAUGUCUUUAUUCCCCCGAUUGGAAGAUUGCUAUGAAGGCAUGAUCGUGGCAAAUAAUAAAAGUUAAUUCUCUCAAACUUAAUGCCCGUGGCAAAAUAAUAAAACUUAUUUUGGGUAAUAAGUGAUUUUUAGAAAAAAUUUGGGAAACCCAACCCGUUUGGUAAAUUAUGAGAAAAUAUCUUAUUGUUAAAAAUUGUUGUGAGAAAAAGCUAUAAGGGAAAGCAGCUAAUGAAGUGCUUUCAUUUUCUAAUUAUUCGGAAAUCAGUUUCAAAGAGGCGUUAGGUUUAAUGAUUAUGCGAGAAUCAUUUUAUGAUUAUGCAGGAAUUAGUACCAACAACACUUUUAACAAAAAAGUUUACCAAAUGCUAAACUGCUUUCUUUCACAACAAAUCUGAUUGUGAUUAUUUUCACAGCACAGCAAUGCCAAACUGGCCCUUAGUCGCACAAAAUUGAGUUUGAGAAAUUAUUUGAAUUGUUUUCUAAAUCAAAAUUAUAUUUUAAAGCAUCAAAUAUGGAGAAAAUGUCAUAAUGAUUUCGCAGAAUUUUGAUUUACUUUUAUGAGUUUUAUAAAUUGAUUAUGAAUUUUGGAAGUUUAAACAUUGAAAAUAACAAUAAAUUGAAGGCAAUGACAUGAGGCAGCGUCUGACUGGUUAGCAUUCAAUUCGACUGAAAUGUGUCACUCACUUGUGCAGCCACUUGUUAUUUAGGUUUUCUUUUUAUAUUUUGUUAUUGUUUUUCUUAAAAAAUUCACAAAAAUUAUUUUAAAAAAUCAGAAAAAUAAACCAAAAUUUGCUAAAAACUCCUUACAGCCUCUGAGCUCCGCAAGUACUUGGGCUAAACAGCCCUCGUCUUGUUCUCCGCUGCAGCCACCUACUACUCCUUCCCUUUCCCUGAAAACGCCAGGCGCAAAAAAGCCCAGAUUUUCCGCUAUGCUCCUCUGCCCGAGGAGCUCCACACAGUCUCCAACUGGAGCGGGACCCACGGGGUCCAGACCCGGGUUUUCCACCAGCUUGAGACCCUUGAGGAGCUGGAAAAGGUUGUCAAAGAUGCCCGUGAGAAGAAAACCCGAAUUCGGCCUGUCGGGUCCGGGUUGUCCCCUAAUGGGAUUGGAUUGUCCAGGGCUGGAAUGGUCAAUUUGGCCUGAUGGAUAAGGUUUUGGAGGUGGAUAAGGAGAAGAAGAGGGUGAGAGUGCAAGCUGGGAUAAGGGUGCAGGAAUUGGUGGAUGGGAUCAAGGAACAUGGCCUUACUCUGCAGAACUUUGCCUCCAUUAGGGAGCAGCAGAUUGGUGGCAUUUUGCAGGUUGGUUUGUUUUUUUGUUAAGUUUGAUGUGGGGUACGGUUUAACUCUUUCCAAUUGACUGGCUUUAUCACAUUUUGAUUUUUGCUAAUAUGAUCUUUCUCUUUGCCUCAUGGUCAUAUGCGUGUAGGUUGGUGCACAUGGUACUGGUGCAAAAUUGCCUCCGAUGGAUGAACAGGUGAUCAGUAUGAAGCUGGUCACUCCUGCUAAGGGAACAAUAGAAAUCUCUAAAGAGAAAGAUCCAGAGCUGUUUUAUUUAGCCCGGUGUGGCCUUGGAGUGGUUGCUGAAGUCACCAUCCAGUGCGUUGAGAGACAGGAGCUUGUAGAGCACACUUCUGUUUCAAACAUGGAAGAGAUCAAGAAAAAUCAUAAGUAAUUAUUUUUUCCUUUCAUUGUUAGAUUUAUUGGUUUAUCUUUCAUUCAGAUAGUAAGUGCAAAAUGCAUGAGUGUUGCUUGCAAGUUGCAAAUUGCAACAAGUUUAUGGAAAGAUGAAAACUAUUGAGUGUGAGGCAACCAUUGUUUGGUUUGGAGCUAGGGUUUUACAAUGUUUUAAGGGAUGGUGAAAACAUUUCGAUUGAGUGAUGAGAUUUGGUGGCUUGUAAUGCAAACCCUUCAUUGAAUUUCAUCUAGUGAUAUAUAUUUUUUUUGGAAGAAAAAAGAGAAACUACAAUAAAAACCACUCACAAAAAAGGUAAGUUAGAAAAAGCUCAAAUUUUGAAAAUUUUAGUCUCACUUCACAGCUGCUAACAAUAAAACAUUAUAAAAGAAUGACCAUUUCAGCUAGUGAUAGCAACACUUUCCAGUGAAACAUAAAAAUUGUCGAUCCCUGAUGCAUCAACAUGUACAUGUGGUUCUUAAAUCUCAGAAGUCAUUGAUUAGUAAGGGUAAGCUGUAUGUACUGUUUUUUCUUAUUUAUAACGAAUUCUUCUCUCACUCUGUAUGUCCUGUUUUUGCUUAUUUUUAACUCUCUCUCUCUCUCUCUCUCUCUCUCUCUCUCUCUCUCUCGUAUUUUGACUCACUGUGCGCUUAUGCACCAUUAGUAUUAUAGCGCGAUAUGGAAUCAGGAAAUGAAUGAUACAUGAUCUGUUUGUUUCACAGGAAAUUACUAUCUGAGAAUAAACAUGUGAAGUGCCUUUAUAUUCCAUAUAGCGACACUGUUGUGGUUGUGACGUGUAACCCUGUAUCAAAAUGGAAAGGUCCCCCAUAGUUCAAACCCAAAUAUAGCAGCGACGAAGCCAUACAGCAUGUCUGAGAUCUCUACAAGGAAUGCCUCCAGAAGUUCAGGUAAAGUUGUUUCCUGGUCCUGUCAACCAUAUAAUCUAGCAAGAUAUUUUCUCCUGUUUGAGCUGAAGGACAAUAAGCUGUACAGGCUGAAUGUCUCUUAUUCCCUUUUAUCAUUUAUCAUUUUUUCAUAUUCUCUCGGCUUAGAGGACCUGUGCAAGUGCAAUAAAGUAAAGGCAUCAAAGUACUGCUAGAGCUAUGUGGUGAAAUGGGAAACAAAAAGUUUUUACAACAUGGUCUUAAAUGACUGCUCUUUUUCUUUCAUUUCUCUGUUUCAAUGUUCAAUGGCUUUGAUAUUCUAGAUUUCUUACUACUAGAACUUGGAACUCUGUUUAUGUACUGUUAAUACAAUACUCAUUAGCACUUAAUAUAGAUGCAUACGCUUAUACUCUUGUAAGCUUGGGCAAGCUUGGUUGGGGUUGGUUUAACCAAGGUCAACCCAGGUCGUGAAAUCCCAACUGGAAUGUUGUAUGCAGGUUGGUGGGCAUGGAUUGCAAACUCCUAGAGCUGUCUUUGGUGUUGUUGUGUUAGCAUAAAACGGAUUACUGGUCCUCCAUUGUUCUUCCUCUAUUAUAUGUUCUUUUUUGCUUCAUAUACUCAAAAACUCCCAUAUUGCUAUUGUGUUGAUUCAUCUGUUCGUUGCAGCUAACCAUUUACACAUUUUACUUGCAGUGUAGUUCCAGUUAAGAAUGACGUGGACAUAAAUGAGCUGUCAUUUACAGAGUUGAGAGAUAAACUGCUUGCCCUAGAUCCUCUCGACAAAGAUCAUGUUGUAAAAGUUAAUCAAGCUGAGGCUGAAUUCUGGAGGAAGUCAGAGGGAUACAGAGUGGGAUGGAGUGAUGAAAUUCUGGGCUUUGAUUGUGGUGGUCAACAGUGGGUUUCAGAAACUUGUUUUCCAGUUGGAACCCUUUCCAAACCAAGCUUGAAAGACCUUGAAUAUAUAGAAGAUGUAAAGCAGCUGAUAGAGACGAACGAGGUACCAGCACCUGCUCCAAUAGAGCAGCGCUGGACAGCAUGCACUAAGAGCCCCAUGAGUCCAGCUUCAAGUACAAAAGACGAUGAUAUAUUUUCGUGGGUAAUUUCAUGAACCAAUGUUUCUUCGCAUUGUUCUUUAUAUCUCUUGGGUUAAUUCCUUAUGCAUAUCUUGAAUUAGAAAGGUGUCAGUGGUAUAAAAACGUUAAUCACUUGUUGACCAUGCAUACAAGACAAUUUUAGGGUUAAGCUUUUUUUUAUUUUACCUUGAUUAAGCAUGAUAGAUGAAUUGGUGGUACAAGUCUUCUGGGGUUUAGUGUAAAAGUAUGUUCCCUUUACAUUGAACAUACGGAUGAUGUUUGUGCUUAUUGCUGGUGAUUCUGGCAUAAGGUUCUAAAAUGAACAUGACAUAUUUAUUAAAUAGGUAACAUAUCUCUAUCUGUGUAACCUGUUAAUAAACAGAUUUCAUCCAGAACCCAUUGACCUGUGUAAUAAAUGGAUCUUGUUAAUGAUAUGACAUGCUACAACCCACUUGAAAUAGGUCACCAUUUAACAUCUUUAUGAGAAUUCAACCCACUUCACAUGUAUUUGUUUUUAUAAGAGCCAAACUUUAUGAGUAAAGUGACAGAAAAUUCGUAGGAUGAACGAGAAGUCCGUCAAAAACUAAUUCGUCUACGACCGGAAAAAAAAAAAAAAAAAAACCUCCAAAGAAUGAAAAAGAUGAGGUACUGUAGUAUCUUGUAAUUUUGUACACCUAUUUAACUUGUUUAGUAUCAUGUAUCUUACAUCCAACCCAACAACAGUUGACAAUGGGUAGAGACGCCCAGGGCAUCAUGUAUCUUAGUACUACUCUGCGAGGCUUUACUUCCACGAUGUGGUACAGUACUCUCAACACUAUAUACAAAUUAUAAAUUAAGAAUGUGCACCCAAUUUUAAUAGGAAUAGAAUCGCCCAAUGGUACUUUUAGAUUUUUUCAACUACUAAAAGUAAAUACUUAAUUUUGCAUUGGACAAUUGAGAAAAAGGUUUUUUUGAAAAUUAUUUAAAUGUGACAAAAAAUUGUAAACCACCAAGUAAAUAAGUGUAGUAACAUACAAUGAUCAUAUUAGUUUCCAUAUCCGAAUUUGGGGCCGUAUCUGUAUUGGAUACUCACCCUGGCCAAAAUAUUACAUAUCUCUGCUACGUUACAUGUAUGUGGAAUUAGUUAAAUCUCUUAUCAGAUGCUGUUACCAACUACAAUGCUCAUGUGUAAAAGCUGUUUUAAAUUUUGUAUCAGGUUGGUAUAAUCAUGUACCUUCCUACAACGGAUGCCCGCCAAGUACAGUUGUGGGAUAAGUAUUCCGCUUAUGAACACUGGGCAAAGAUUGAGGUAUUAAAUGUCAUCUUAGAUGAUUGUUUUUUUAGAAUCUUUCUAAAAUGAUGUCACCACCAUGAUAUUAUGGAAUCCUGAAGAGUGAAUUUAUUGUUUUCAAUACCCUCAAACUCAUGCUAAAUUUCCAACAUCUUAGCAAACUUAAUUUUUUACAGGGUUUGCAUUCAUUUGCAAUCUCAACAACAAAUUUUUUUUCUAAGGCAACACCUAUUGUAACGUGUCCAGAUUAAAGUUGUUUUGUAGCUGAUCAAGCUGCUUCUUUUCGGAAUUCUACCAAUUUAUGUUUUGUAAAAUGGCUGAAUAAAACAUGUUAUAUUAUCACUGUUGUGCAUUUUAUUUAGACAUGCGUAUCGUGCACAGGUUCCAAAGGGCAAAGAAGAGCUUGCCUCUCUCCAGGCCAGGCUAAGAAAGGGUUUUCCAGUUGAUGCAUACAAUAAAGCAUGAAAGGAGUUGGACCCGAGCAGGAUCCUUUCAAAUAACAAGCUGGAAAAGCUGUUGCCAUUAUCGGACACCAUUUGAGAAUCAUCCUUCAGUGGUUAGUUAUUGAUUAAUAUGGCUUUUCACUAAAUUUGAAUGCAUUUUAGCUUCAAUAAAAAAAAAAAUUCUGCCAAAUCUGCGUCGAGCAUCUUUAGACCUAAGAAUAUAACUGUAAAUUCAGAAGCAUUCCUCACAAAGCCAACAGCAGCAUAAGGCAAAGAGGCUGCACCAAUAGAUAUCACAGAAGAAACAAAAUGAUUAGGCAUCAAUUGACAGGACGAGGGAAAAAAGUAGGCAGUUUUGAAUGCUACAAGUAUAGGACGAAUAGGUUCCACUAUGAGGAGAUCCAUAGUGCUCGGGGAUGCAGUAAUUUGGGUUUUAGGUAUUAAGUCCACUAAUUUCUGCAGUGAUUCUAUUGGAUUUUGGCUUGCGAGUUUUAGUUUUUAUUUUAUUUUUGAUUUUAUUUAAUUUUAUUUUAAAAUACAAUUGAUAGUUUAAACUACAAAGGGGAGGGGAUUGCUCACACACACACUACCAAGGGAUCAUGAGGUUAGAACUUGAGACCAUUGGUCUGCAAGUCAAGGCUCUUGCCCACUAAGCUAGACCCCAUUGGUGACUUAUGAGUUAGGUAGCAAGUCUCCUGCUUUUCUAAGAUUUAAGAAAUUUUUACAAAGAUGAUUGAAAGGAAAAAAACUGAUGCAUAAGAUGUCUAACAACUUACCAUCCCUCAAUAACGCACAUGUCUAUCAUUUUUGUCCGAGGGCUAAACUUCUUCCCAGUUGGGGGAUUCUCAGUUGCAGUUGGGUAUCCUUCAAACCAAAAUCAUAUUUAAACAAAACAAAAACAAAAACAAAAGUGAGUCCUGCCAUAUCAUAAGGAUAAAAAUAAAAUUUGUCGCACAGAAAGAAGGUACCUGCUGGAGGUUGGUUCUCCUGUGCCAUCUUGGCGAAGAAACAGCAGAAGCUAUGAUCUAACUUAGGACGAAAGAUCAAAUUCGAUUCAAAGAUCGGUGUAAAUGUUUAUAUUGUUGUAAAAUAACUGGGAUAUGUGCGAAUAUUGAGCUGCACGUAAAGUAGAUGAGACACAGUAUUUAACGAGGUUCGGCUAUGCCUACGUCCCCGGAGAGCAGCAGUAGUAACUUUUUCACUAUGUAAAAUAAUAGGGCUACAACUUUAGUGUUUACAAUAUAUAUGGCUCACUCAAUUUUCUCUCUUGGAGAAUUUCUAUCUUGCUCUCUUUCCUCUCAACUCACUCACCCUCUUUCUUCCUUCUCUUCCUCUUCUCUAAGCUCACCCUUCUCUUGACGGAGCGCACCAUACGUUAAAUAAAAGUAAACGUGCGGUAAAGUAAAUUCAUAAAGUAUGAGGGUUAAUUCCACAUCAUACUUUAAGUAAAAGUAAAUUUGCGAUAAAGUAAACAUGCUUGUAUGGGCACUAAUUCUGCUCCAUACAUUUAAAUAAAAGUAAAGGCGUUGACGAUAAACCUGCACCACCCUUUUAAAUAGAUAUUGUCGUAUGGGUAAUAAAACUACACCAUACAGUAAUUAAAAUAAAUAAGGGGUUAAAACCACCACCGAAUAAAAUAAAAAAAAUGUUAGUAUUAGUAACGGUCUCCCACUGAUAAUAUGUUUAGUAUUACUAAGGGUCCAUUUUUGUUAGUGGUUAGUAAUAGAAAAGUGAAUAGAUAUAGCAUAUUAUAUUACCAUCAACUUUUCAUAUAUAUAUAUUAUACAAUGGUUAGUAGUAUAAAUAAUAGUGUAGCACAAAAAUUAUACCUGAGAGCUUCUCGUGCUGAUAACGUGUUGUAAAAUAACGGGAUUAUGCGAGAAGAUUGAGCUGCACGUAAAGUAGAUGAGACACAGUAUUUAACGAGGUUCGGCUAUGCCUACGUCCCCGGAGAGCAGCAGUAGUAACUUUUCCACUAUAUAAAAUAAUAGGGCUACAACUUUAGUGUUUACAAUAUAUAUGGCUCACUCAAUUUUCUCUCUUGGAGAAUUUCUCUCUUGCUCUCUUUCCUCUCAACUCACUCACCCUCUUUCUUCCUUCUCUUCCUCUUCUCUAAGCUCACACUUCUCUUGAUGGAGGUAUCUAUUUAUAGGUCUAAGACAUUGGUGGUUCACCUCACAAUAUAAUUGGUAGACAACAUCAUUAAUAUUCUUCAAUCAAUUGGGUAGUGGUUUGGUUUGGUGGGUGUGAGUUGGCUAUGUGGGCUUCACCUAUUCUUCUUUACUUAUUCUUCUUUACAACAUAUAUAUAUAUAUAUUGGAAUAAUGGAAUAAAGAUAUUGGUCAGCUUCUGGUUAUGUAAUGUCUAAAGAGCCUUUUGCAUUAAAACACUGAAAUAUAUGCUGAAGAGGAGAAUAAAAAGCAGUGGAAAAAGCGUAAAAAGAGAAUAUAUGCUUCCACUAUUUGAUAAAAGGUGUGAGAACAAGAACUCUCUACAGAGAACAAUUGUUCACAAUUUUAAUGCUGUUGUAAAGAAGAAUAAGUAAAGAAGAAUAGGUGAAGCCCACAUAGCCAACUCACACCCACCAAACCAAACCACUACCCAAUUGAUUGAAGAAUAUUAAUGAUGUUGUCUACCAAUUAUAUUAUGAGGUGAACCACCAAUGUCUUAGGCCUAUAAAUAGAUACCUCCAUCAAGAGAAGUGUGAGCUUAGAGAAGAGGAAGAGGGUGAGUGAGUUGAGAGGAAAGAGAGCAAGAGAGAAAUUCUCCAAGAGAGAAAAUUGAGUGAGCCAUAUAUAUUGUAAACACUAAAGUUGUAGCCCUAUUAUUUUACAUAGUGGAAAAGUUACUACUGCUGCUUUCCGGGGACGUAGGCAUAGCUGAACCUCGUUAAAUGCUGUGUCUCAUCUACUUUACGUGCAGCUCAAUAUUCGCACAUAUUCCAGUUAUUUUACAACACGUUAUCAGCACGAGAAGCUCUCAGGUAUAAUUUUUGUGCUACACUAUUAUUUAUACUACUAACCAUUGUAUAAUAUAUAUAUAUAUAUAUGAAAAGUUGAUGGUAAUAUAAUAUCUAUUCACUUUUCUAUUACUAACCACUAAUAAAAAUGGACCCUUGGUAAUACUAAACAUAUUAUCAGUGGGAGACCGUUACUAAUACUAACAUUUUUCUUAUUUUAUUCGGUGGUGGUUUUAACCCCUUAUUUAUUUUAAUUACUGUAUGGUGUAGUUUUAUUACCCAUACGACAAUAUUUAUUUAAAAGGGUGGCGCGGGUUUAUCGUCCACGUCUUUCUUUUUAUUUAAAAGUAUGAUGUGGAAUUAACCCUCAUACUUUAUGAAUUUACUUUACCGCACAUUUAAUUUUAUUUAAGAUAUGGUGUGGAAUUAACGUCCAUAUAGCAAGCAAUUUAUUUUAUCGCACAUUUACUUUUACUUAAAGUAUGAUGAGGAAUUAACCCUCAUACUUUAUGAAUUUACUUUACCGCACAUUUACUUUUAUUUAACGUAUGGUGCGGGUUUAUCGUCCAUACAAGCAAUUCAUUUACCAAUAAUUUAAUUUACAAGCAAUUUAUUUUAUGGAUUAAUUGUGUGGUAUGAUGAGUUUUUUUUUACAAGGAUACAGAUCAGAACCAGAAGUUUCUUGAUCCUCAUCAUACAACUACAUCAGGACUUGAAGAUCCUUGAUGAUGAUAUUGAUAUGAGAGCUGGCAGUCUCUCCAGUACUUUAUUUGUAAACAUGUGAUCGGACUUUAUGGUCCUUGAUUCUUGAUAUGUAAAUAAGGACAUGGGGUUCCUUAAAUGAUGUAACAAUAUUAUAUUGGUUAAUAGUGCCGUACACAUGAAAAUAACUGUAUUGGCAAAUGUACUGUACACAUGAAUAGUGUCGUAUACAUGAAUAGUGAUGUAUGCAUAAAUAUUUACCAUUUUGGGUAAACUGUCACUAUUCAAAAAGGAACCUGCAGUUCCUUAAACUUAUGGAUGAGCAAUUAAAUGAGAUGCCAGAAGUUCCUCAAGAUAUGGACAAUUAUGUAAGGGCUUGAAGUCCAGAAAUAUGUACAGAAAAUUGUAAAAAUGUUCAUACCAUGAGAAUAUGUGAUUUUGGCUUGAGGUUCAAAAUCUAACAGUGUUGAGAACCUGAAGUUCCAACAAUUAAAUGGACAACCCUUGAGGUAUUAUUGCAAAUUAUGGUACGCCACAUAUUUCUUUGGCAUAAGAGAAUGAUGAAUUUAAUAAAGUUCGAUUCUGUUAUAAUAGACACCUCAAGGAAGAAAUAUAUUUUGUGAAUUCCGGUUGUUAAGAAUACACCGUGAAAUGGAUAAUAUCAAUAUAAACCUCAAUGAUGAAUUGAGGCUCCCCACAUAUUUUGAUAUAUCUGGGUUGAAAGCACAUGGAUUCAAAUAUAUGAGAAAUCCCGAAUUUGAGGUUGUGGGUAUAUAGUAGUUAAUGCUCUUCACUACUAUAUUGUGAUAUUAUCGUAACUUUUACUCAAUUCAUAUUUCAUGUCCAUUUGAAAAAGGGCGAAUAAAUUCUGAGUUUGUGUUUAGCCCAGGCCAAAAGUUCCGGGCUCCCAUAACNNNNNNNNNNNNNNNNNNNNNNNNNNNNNNNNNNNNNNNNNNNNNNNNNNNNNNNNNNNNNNNNNNNNNNNNNNNNNNNNNNNNNNNNNNNNNNNNNNNNACCGUCGUUGUAAAAUCCUGACAGAGAACUGCUGCAAGUUUAAGAAUGUGUGCAAUUAUUAUAACAGGCAAGGAGCAUACAACAUAUAGAUUUUUUCCACCUGCAAUGAAGGUGCAGGCCCUGUAAAAUCUAUAAAAAUUACAUUAUGUUCUGGAAGCCUCUGAAGGAAGAGGACGGCGCCUCUUAAGCUUAGCCAUGAGCCUCUCGUGGUCUCCCAAAAUUUUUUCAUUGGAGACCUGCAGCAAGUCUAGCAUUCUCAGUGUAUCAACGGAGUACGAACUCACCAGUUUCAACAAGGAAUUAUUCUCUCCUUUAAGUUUCUCAACCUCCUGUUGAGACUCAUGAAGCAUUCUUUGAAGAGACGAAUUUUCAGUUGUUAGCCUCUCAACCUCGUUUGCUCUGGCACGCAAACGAUCAGCCAUGUUAGAAACAGAAGCAACACUCUGAAUGCUAAAAGCCAUUGAGUCAUCAAUAGCCUUUUCCUCAGAUCUCCCUGUCAACAACAUUUCAUCCAUUGGAAUAAUGAAAUUCCUAGCUACUAUGACAGCAGUAGCAUCAUUCAUCAUCACAGAAUCAUUAACUGUGAGAUGACGAUUUGGGAUACAAAGGAUGGACGCCAAACUUUGGCAUCAUUGGUAGUUGUGGGAGCAUCAUUUAAAUUGAAAUAAUUUGGGCAGGGAAGAAGAGGAAGCUAUUUUAAGAAGGUUUAGAAGGAACGUCUUAGAAAAACUAAAGUUUCAGAAAAUGAAGGAAGUUGAGUUAAAACGCANNNNNNNNNNNNNNNNNNNNNNNNNNNNNNNNNNNNNNNNNNNNNNNNNNNNNNNNNNNNNNNNNNNNNNNNNNNNNNNNNNNNNNNNNNNNNNNNNNNNNNNNNNNNNNNNNNNNNNNNNNNNNNNNNNNNNNNNNNNNNNNNNNNNNNNNNNNNNNNNNNNNNNNNNNNNNNNNNNNNNNNNNNNNNNNNNNNNNNNNNNNNNNNNNNNNNNNNNNNNNNNNNNNNNNNNNNNNNNNNNNNNNNNNNNNNNNNNNNNNNNNNNNNNNNNNNNNNNNNNNNNNNNNNNNNNNNNNNNNNNNNNNNNNNNNNNNNNNNNNNNNNNNNNNNNNNNNNNNNNNNNNNNNNNNNNNNNNNNNNNNNNNNNNNNNNNNNNNNNNNNNNNNNNNNNNNNNNNNNNNNNNNNNNNNNNNNNNNNNNNNNNNNNNNNNNNNNNNNNNNNNNNNNNNNNNNNNNNNNNNNNNNNNNNNNNNNNNNNNNNNNNNNNNNNNNNNNNNNNNNNNNNNNNNNNNNNNNNNNNNNNNNNNNNNNNNNNNNNNNNNNNNNNNNNNNNNNNNNNNNNNNNNNNNNNNNNNNNNNNNNNNNNNNNNNNNNNNNNNNNNNNNNNNNNNNNNNNNNNNNNNNNNNNNNNNNNNNNNNNNNNNNNNNNNNNNNNNNNNNNNNNNNNNNNNNNNNNNNNNNNNNNNNNNNNNNNNNNNNNNNNNNNNNNNNNNNNNNNNNNNNNNNNNNNNNNNNNNNNNNNNNNNNNNNNNNNNNNNNNNNNNNNNNNNNNNNNNNNNNNNNNNNNNNNNNNNNNNNNNNNNNNNNNNNNNNNNNNNNNNNNNNNNNNNNNNNNNNNNNNNNNNNNNNNNNNNNNNNNNNNNNNNNNNNNNNNNNNNNNNNNNNNNNNNNNNNNNNNNNNNNNNNNNNNNNNNNNNNNNNNNNNNNNNNNNNNNNNNNNNNNNNNNNNNNNNNNNNNNNNNNNNNNNNNNNNNNNNNNNNNNNNNNNNNNNNNNNNNNNNNNNNNNNNNNNNNNNNNNNNNNNNNNNNNNNNNNNNNNNNNNNNNNNNNNNNNNNNNNNNNNNNNNNNNNNNNNNNNNNNNNNNNNNNNNNNNNNNNNNNNNNNNNNNNNNNNNNNNNNNNNNNNNNNNNNNNNNNNNNNNNNNNNNNNNNNNNNNNNNNNNNNNNNNNNNNNNNNNNNNNNNNNNNNNNNNNNNNNNNNNNNNNNNNNNNNNNNGCGUAGCAAAUUGUAUGGGUUAAAGUCCUAGAAAUUAAUUGACAUGUAUGUAUUAAUCUGUGGCAUGCCUGCAGCAUGAGAGAUAUAUGGGUUCUAAAUGUUCCAACUGCCUAAAUAGAGAUUAUCCACGCCCUACUGUAAAAUAACGCUCCAUUGGAGGUUAUAAUCCACAUUCUCACAUAAUAAAAGCCCCAUGAAGUGGCUUGGGUACCCAAAAGCAAAGAAAUGCUUAUAAUUGAUGCAUGCACGUGCAAAUGAGAAUGAUGGGAUCAUGAAUUGAUGAAUGACAAUUUUUGGUUUUGGAGUAGCUACUCAAAUCAUCAAUGGGCUGUGUUGAUUGGAACCACGUCCAAUUAUUAAAUGUCGACAAUAUCAUUGGCCAAAAUGGAAUGAGGUAAUUCCAUUGUAGAUAAGAAUGAACGUGAAAGAACAAACCCACAAUACGAACCCCAAACUUUGUUAAUACUGGAAGUUAUACUUGGGUGUUCGGAAUAAAAGGGAAUAUACCUACUUUGUAUGACACAAUGUUUCUGGCAGAAACAAGGAACGUUGGGUUUUCUCCAUAUUUACAGAUUCAAUUGUGCCCCCUUAUUGCACAUUUACAGAGACCAACAUGUUAUCUUUAAGGGUUAUUAAAUGCACGGAGCAUAUCGCCAGAAGCGAUUUCCUAAAGAUGUAUAAAUAGCUGGGUUAAAGCUAUAUAAUGUGUCAUAAAGUUUAAUCCCUUUUAAACAAAAUCCGUUGAGAGGAUUGACAUUGCAUAAAGCAAGUCCCUAAAGGACAUAUGCUUGAAGCACAAAAUCUGUACUCAAUAUUAAUAUGCAUAAAUUACCUCAGUGAGUACAUUGAUUAUAAUGUGUUUGCAACACAUUAAAGCUUCUGCAGAAUUCAUGUAAUAUUUGUCUCGACUUGAAAAUCGAGCGUUAUGCCAAUGAGAUUUUUGCUAAGAAAGUAUUGAAGCAUUUUUGUGUGGAUUAUCCGUUGGGCACUUAAAUAAUUUUCCGGACGUAUAUUAGACCGGACAUUGUAUAUUCCAGAUAGAGUUCAACUCCAUCGCCAUCAUUUUGGGAUGAUGCAAGGCACACUUGGUGCUAUAUCCGCAUAACACCAUAUACGGGCAUAUUCUUUUCGAGUAAACUUACAAAUAGCCCUGAUUUUGUUGAAAACGCGGACUCUGGAAAUUUCUAUGAUUUACAUAGAGAUAGUUCACUGGAAAUAUAUUUACUCACUCAACUAUAUGAAUAGUUGAUGGCUACAUCCUCCACUCACUCCAAAAGAUUUUCGCUCCAAAAAGAUAAUCAUGAAGAUAUCAGGGGGAGAUAUUCAUCAGGGGGAGCAUCCAGAACUAUGCUGCACUGAUUACUGUAAUUUUCUUCCUUCCAUCAGUUUUCUACCUCACUGGGUUUUCUCCAAGCAAGGUUUUAAUGAGGCAACCAAUCUAGGGACAUGUGGUCUCCAAGGGGGAGUGUUGUAAAGAAGAAUAAGUAAAGAAGAAUAGGUGAAGCCCACAUAGCCAACUCACACCCACCAAACCAAAUCACUACCCAAUUGAUUGAAGAAUAUUAAUGAUGUUGUCUACCAAUUAUAUUGUGAGGUGAACCACCAAUGUCUUAGGCCUAUAAAUAGAUACCUCCAUCAAGAGAAGUGUGAGCUUAGAGAAGAGGAAGAGAAGGAAGAAAGAGGGUGAGUGAGUUGAGAGGAAAGAGAGCAAGAGAGAAAUUCUCUAAGAGAGAAAAUUGAAUGAGCCAUACAUAUUGUAAACACUAAAGUUGUAGCCCUAUUAUUUUACAUAGUGGAAAAGUUACUACUGCUGCUUUCCGGGGACGUAGGCAUAGCCGAACCUCGUUAAAUACUGUGUCUCAUCUACUUUAUUAGCAGCUCAAUAUUCGCACAUAUUCCAGUUAUUUUACAACAAAUGCUUAUUUAUACAGAGAAUAUAUGCUUCCACUAUUUUAUAAAAGAAAUGCAUUAAGAACAAGGUGUUGACAUAUGCUCCUGUGAGCUGCGAUAUUUUAAUUUAUCUUUAAAAUUUUAAUAUUUUUUAUAGAGACAACUGGAUUUUUUAAUUUUAGAUUUUCAUUUUCUCAUGCAGCUCAAAUUUUUUGUCCACAUCAAUAUAAAAGUGGGGUGCAAAACGUGCCAUAUGGGCAUGAAACAGCUGACUUGACAAUCAACCAAGGAAAAGGCAAACAUUGCAAUAUUUUAAACUGAGGUUUAGGGUUAAUUUUAACAACUAUUUUGAAGAUUAUUGUGAUGGAAGUAAUACAAGGAUAUGACCAUGAAAGCAAAAUAGUUUCUUCUUAGUAUCUCAACCAUGACCAGAGUUCCUUGUUGAGAUUGUGGAUUCGUGGACGAGAGAUGAGUAAAUCACAAGUAUUAUAUUUAUUAUAAUGUGGAUUUGCUUAAUGUUAAUUGCUUAUGAUUAACAUAUUGAUGUGGUUUAUAAAUUGUUUUGUUGAUUUAAAAUUAUAUGGACUUUUUCAACAACAGAUCAUGGGUAAAUGGAACCCAUUUUGAUUUUAAAUGAAUUUUCUUAGUGUUUAGAGAAAUGGAUGGUAUUUUUUGGUGAAUGACCAUAUCAUGUUGUGAUUGUAUUGAUGGUAUUCACGUGUGUGUAUAUCUAUGGAAAUUCUCAUAUGCGGAUGUUCUAUUGUUAUUAUCAUGCGAACGUCAUAUGUUUUCUACUACUCCUCCAUGCUUUCUUUUCUAUUUACAGUGACAUUCGCACGAUAAUAACGUGAGGACAUCUGGAUGAGCGAAUAACUGUAUAAUAUAACGAUGAAAAUGUCUUUAUUCCCUCGAUGGGAAGAUUGCUAUGAAGGCAUGACCGUGGCAAAUAAUAAAAGUUAAUUCUCUCAAACUUAGUGCCCGUGGCAAAAUAAUAAAACUUAUUUUGAGUAAUAAGUGAUUUUUUUUAAAAAAAAAUUUGGGAAACCCAACCCGUUUGGUAAACUAUGAGAAAAUCACUUAUUGUUAAAAAUUGUUGUGAGAGAAACCUAUAAGGAAAAGCUGCUAAUGAGGUGCUUUCAUUUUCUAAUUAUUCGGAAAUCAGUGUUACAGAGGCGCUAGGUUUAAUAAUUAUACGAGAAUCAUUUUCUGAUUAUGCAGGAAUUAGUACCAACAACACUUUGAACAAAAAGUUUACUAAACGCUAAAUUGCUUUAUCUCACAAUAAAUUUGACAGAGAUUAUUUUCACAGCGCAACAAUACCAAACUGGCUCUUAUUCGCACAAAAUUGAGUUUGAGAAAUUAUUUGAAUUGUUUUCUAAAUCAAAAUUAUAUUUUAAAGCAUCAAAUAUGGAGAAAAUGUCAUAAUGAUUUCGCAGAAUUUUGAUUUAUUUUUAUGAGUUUUAUAAAUUGAUUAUGAAUUUUGAAAAGAAAAUAACAAUAAAUUGAAGACAAUGACAUGUGGCAGUGUCUGAGUGGUUCGCCUUCAAUUCUUCCGAAAUGUGUCACUCUCUUUUGCAGCCACUUGUUAUUUAGGUUUGCUUUUUAUAUUUUGUUAUUGUUUUUCUUAAAAAAUUCACAAAAAUUAAUUGGAUUAACGUCACUUUAGUCCCUGUAGGUUUAGUGUCAGUAUCGAAAUGGGCCCCAAGGUUUGAGUUUUAUCAAUUUCGUACCCAACAUUUCGAAAUAUUACCAAUUUACACCAGCCGUUACAUUGACCGUCAAAGUCAGACGUUAAAUGCUGACGUGGCAGUCGUGGGACCCACAUCAUAACCAAAUAGCUGUUAGAAAGCGACGUCACGAUGGGCAAUUUCGGAAGAAAAAAAUCGAAGGAAACGAAGAGUUCGCUUACCUGGGUUGGAAAAAUCGAACCAACUCAGUUUCUGAUUUGUGUUCGUGUUUUCGAGAGCAAAGGAGCGAGGAAAAAAGUGGAAGGAAACUGACGAAGAAGAUCCGAUUGGCUGGGCGAAAUGGAUGAAGAGGCGCCGAUGUAUUGGUGCGGAAAGGCUGCUACAAUUCGAACCUCUUGGACAGAUUCGAAUCCUGGGAGGCGAUUUUCCAUGUGUGCAGCCAAGGUACGUGAGACUAAGAGGGGUUUUAAGGGCUGUGAAUUUUGGGCAUGGUUUGAUCCGGCCAUGUGUGCACGGUCGAAGGCAGUGAUUCCUGGGCUUUUAAAAUCGUGGAAUAAGCUGGAGAAGUCAAUGGCAAUGGCAAGACAAAGAGAAAAGGUCGUUUGGGCGUUGUUGGUGGCUUCGUGGGUUCUAUUUGCAAGCAUCAUUUUGGGAGGGAUGUGUGGAUGUGGAGUAAACAAAAAGAGGAGCUUGGAAUUAGCUUCUGCCAUUGAAUGAAUGUAUUGUUAGUAGCAGUUUGUAAUGGUUUAAUUGUUAUGUAAGGGUUUAAGGGUUUAGGGUGUUAGGAUUAAGGGUUAUGGGGUAAGGCUUAAGGGCUUAUGGGGUAGGAUUAAGGGUUAUGGGGUAAGGUUUAAUUGUUAUGUAGCAGUUUAAUUGCCGACUUUUUUGUAACUUGAUGAAGUGAAUGGAAUGGCAAAAUUUGUAGAAAAUGGAAUGGCAAAAAUAAUGUAACAGGGAAGUUAGAAAAUAUUUAUCACCUGGAAUAAUGAAGUGAAUGACCAAAAUAAUGAAGCAAAGUGGCAACCCAAAAACUCAGAAAAUUCUGCAUUCAAAAUGGCUCAAAAUAACCAGAUAAUAACAUUGCAUAUCGUACAUAUUUCAUGUCCAUUCAAAUUCAUUCCAAAAUGGCAGUUUCAGUGGAUGUAUUUGCAUUCACAGUGGUUGAGGCUUAUGUGAAUGUAAUUACAUCCAUCAAAAUAAGUCAGCACUUAGUUAUACAUGACCAAUUGUUCAAAAACAAAAACCUCUUAAUCACAAACUGCCAGUCUAACAACAAAACGUGAAUCAUCAAAUAGCUUUUUCAGUGAGCUUCAAUGUACAACAUUUGAUCCUGCAGUUGAAACAGAAGUUGAUGCAUGAGGAAGCAAAGUUGAGGCUGGUUGUGCUUCAGAAGUGGCAUGUCCUUUCUUAGUUGGUUUUGGCUUCCCUUUUUGCACACGCCUUGGAGGCUUGGAUCUUUGCUUUAGGGUGCUUGGAUCACCAGCUAGAGUGGAUGCGUCAGAUGGAGUGGUCUACAACAUAAAAACUACAUCAGUUUGCAACAAACGCUUAGGGUUAUUAAAUUGAAAAAGAUUGAGUUGCUAUACCUGGGUAUUUUCAGUACCCCUCUUCCUCUUAGUUGCAGGUUUAGCUUUUGGGGGAAGAUUCCAAUGGCAAGUCCUCUUAUUGUGCCCUUUUUUACCACAUUGCCCACAUUUGAGAGAGUCCUGUGUGUUAGGAAUGCGAGACAAUGCAGUUUCAGAUUGGUUUCUUGAUGCUCUCAUCUUCAUCUUGCCCUUGUGCUCUUCCUGUUCUUUGGUUCUACAUUUUCUUGGCCUUCCAGGCUGUGUAGAGUAAGAUGGAGGAAGACAUGGUGGAAAGUCACUCUUAUCCCACAUAUCCAUCCCAUUCAUAGGCAGUAUGAGAUUCUCAUAUGUCUUCAAGUAAGUUGAUUUCAAAUAGCAGUCAUCCACAAAAUCCAUGACAUUAAGACCCCCUUUAUAAUUUAUGGCUGCAAUAGCAUGAACACAAGGCCAUCCCUGCAAAUCCCAAGCUCUACAAGAACAAGUUCUCAAUUCCAAGUCCACAAUAUAUUGUGCAUGGCCACCAGCUGACACUUGGAAUUUACCUCCACCUGACCACAUUGCCACACAAGCACCUGCCUUGGCUUUAUUUCCCUCCACCUUCUUAAAUAUCCUUGGGCAGAUAGGCUUAUUCCAUGUCAGCAUUUUGUCCCUUCUUGCUUGUAUUCUCCUCAUCAGCAUACAUCUAAUAUACUCAAACAUUGACAGAAUUGGUCUAUCCCUACAUUCCAAUAUGGUAGCAUUGAAGGACUCGCAAAGAUUAUUCAACAACAUGUCACACUUCAAAUGAGUGUUGAAGUGUGACUUGGACCAAUGCCUUGGAGGUUUAUCUGGAGUGGUUAGCCAUUCAUAUGCAUCCUUUGACAGUUUUUUCAGGUCUUCCAUGGCCCUUGUAAAGUGGGGGACAGUGGUUGCAUAUGAUGCUUCCUAAAACUUGUCUCUGAGGCUUUUUGCUUUGAAAAGCACCCUAUAGUUGGAAAACAGGUGUCUUGCACAGAACCGGUGGUCACAAUUAGGGACCACUUGCUCAAAAGCAAGUACUAAACCUUUUUGUUUGUCGGAUAUAAAGGUGAAGCCAAAUUGAUUCACAAUCUCACAAUCCUUAACCAAUAGCUCCAGAAACCAAAUCCAAGAUUCCUUGCACUCUGAUUCCACAACUGCAUAAGCAAUUACCCAGGUUUCAUUAUUGGCAUCUACACCCACAGCAGUUAACAGUUGCCCUGCAUAAACACUCUUCAAAAAGCACCCAUCUAAACCUAUAAUAGGCCUGCACCCAGCUUUGAAGCCUUCCUUAGUAGCUCCUAAACAAACAUACAACCUUUGAAACUUUGGUUGCCCCACUUGUUGUUGGAAAUCACACUUAACCAUUGCUGUGGUUCCUGGGUUAGUCUUCCUUAAUUCCUCACAGUAAUCCCAAACUCUUGAAUAUUGUUCAUUGAAACUGCCCUCAAUCAGCUUUAGUGCCUUAUAUUUUGCACUAUACACUUGUUGUCUUGACACCCCUGUAUUAUAAUCCUUCUCAACAGUCUCCUUGAAUGACUUCACUGGCCACUGGGGAUUGGACUUCAAACUGUGAACAUAUUUCUUGCUUAUCCAUGUUGACUUCACAGUAGGGUUCUCCCAUAGCUGUGUACAUGUGUGCUCACCUACAUAUGUCUUCACUUGCAAUGUGUUCUCAUGUUGCAUUUUUGAAGCAUAUAUCAUCCACUCACAAUCUGGGUCCCCACAAACUGCCUUCAGCUUCAAAGCCUCAUUCCUAAUAAACACUACAUCCCUAUUCUGCAAGAUGGAGUACUCUCUGACAGCUGCCCUAAACACCUUACAAUCACUAAACAACAGCCCAAUCUCAAACUUUGGAUCUGCCAUGUCAGUUGCAGCAUUGAACUCUGGCCAAUUCUUAUCAACUUCCUCAUCAGAAUUAUACUUGGCAUAAUCCCUGCACUCAGAAUCGUCAGAAUCCAAUUCAACAUCUGUAGGCCAAUCAGGAGCAGCCUCAUUCCCAGUUUCUUUAGCCCCUGUCCCUUCAGUUUGGUCAUCCACCCAUUCAUCAAAAAAAACAUCAUCUUCAUCUUCAUCUUCACUGAAGUUCUUGGGAAUCAUAUAAUCUGAGUCCUCACUAUCAGAAGCAUCAUCAUCCAAGCCUUCAAAGUUUGCAGCAUUUGCCAAACUUCUUCCACUUCUCAACAUCAUGGAAUCCCUUUGAAACUCGGUCCUGUAGCCAUCAACCCUUCCUUCCACAACUUUGUCUUUAUGGUGAACAGUCUUUGUCCUCCUCAAACUGCCACUUCUUUUUAAACCAAAUGCACGCUUCACCCUAUGUGACAUGUCAUCAACCUUGCCUUUGCCUUUAUCAGAACAACCUUGACUUGGCUUUUCUUUGCCCUUGUCAGAAUUCUCCUCAUUAUUCACAGUGACAUUUUCUUUGCCUUGUUUAGAAGCUUCAUCAAUCAAGCCAUCUUCAUUCAAGCCAUCUUCAUUCAACCCUUCUUCAUUCAACUCUUUGCCUUCUCCACAUCCUUCUUCAUUCAACUCUUCUAUUACAACACUUGUUUUUUUCACCUUUUGCACCUGGGAUACUCCCCCACCCACUGGAACAAUGGCACCACAAUUGUCAUCAAGCUCUUGAAUCACUACCCCACUGUUGGUCCCAAAUUCAUCAUCCAAAUUUAUAAAUAUGUUUGAACCCACUUGACUGUAAAACUGCUCUUGAGUGCAUGCCAAGACAUGUUCUAGGAAUAUAUUUAUCACCCUAGUGUCAGGCACAAAUACUAGCAUGUCUAAGACAUCUGUAUCUUCACUCAGCUUAACUAGGCCACCAUCAAAACUAUCACCUUGAAUACUGUACCAGUAGUUAAUCAAACCUUCGUGCCCUAACUCCUUGACCAUGGCAUCUAUCUCAGUCAUUGACAUUCUAUCUUUAUCACAAUAAUCAAACCAAUCCACAGACCCAUUCACAUAAUAGUUACCUCUUAUUUCACCAUUGUGGUACAUUUGAAUAGAAAAUCCUGCCUCAUCCCCUGCAGGUCGAAAACCACACAUGAAUUUUACCAAUUUGACCCAAAACAAAAUACAUGUACUCCUGUUACAAAUACAAAUACAAAUACACAUACAAAUACAAAUACAAAUACAAAUACAGAUAUACAAAUGCAGAUAUACAAACACACAAAUACAAACACACAUAUACAAAUGCAUGUUUCUAUGUCAGUACACACAUAUACAAAAGGUAAGAUUCCCAGUGGUUGUAGGACCACAUACAAAAGCCAAUGUUUACUUCCGCAUACCACCUACCAUUCACACGAUUCCAUCUACCAAUUAAAUAGACACAGUGAUACCGACACCUAACUUGAAACUCACAAUCCAUUAUAAAAGCCAAACUUUCAGUCGACACCAAACUCGAAACUGACUCUAUUUGAAACUUUCACUCCAAAACAUCAUCUGCCAAUAACCUUACAACAGUAAGCCAUACGUACCAUAGAAAGGUUCUCCAUAUCCUUCCGGACGAAGUCCCCAACUCAUAUUCUUCAGAUCUUUUCGGAAACCUCCGUUUCAGUAUGAUUUUUGCAGUCUAUUUCAAAUUUUUGCACUCCAAAACACGAACAAACCCUCAAAACCUCUCCAACCUCUCCUCUAUGUCUGUCUCAGUACGAACACAACUCAGAAACUGAGUUGGUUCAAUUUUUCCAACUCAGGUAAUCGAACUCUUCCUUGGAACGCGUGCCAACUCUUCGUUUCCUUCGAUUUUUUUCUUCCGAAAUUGCCCAUCGUGACGUCGCUUUCUAACAGCUAUUUGGUUAUGAUGUGGGUCCCACGACUGCCACGUCAGCAUUUAACGUCUGACUUUGACGGUCAAUGUAACGGCUGGUGUAAAUUGGUAAUAUUUCGAAAUGUUGGGUACGAAAUUGAUCAAACUCAAACCUUGAGACCCAUUUCGAUACUGACACUAAACCUCCAGGGACUAAAGUGAAGUUAAUCCAAAUUAAUUUAAAAAAUCAGAAAAAUAAACCAAAAUUUGCUAAAAACUCCUUACAACAUUAUCUUUGACUAUAAAGUGCCAUCCCCAAAAACCCACUGAACCCAUUAAGCCCAGCACGUGUUCCAGUCUUUCAUCGCCAUCAGCAUCUUCAUCAGCCUCUGAGCUCCGCAAGUACUUGGGCUACACAGCCCUCGUCUUGUUCUUCGCUGCAGCCACCUACUACUCCUUCCCUUUCCCUGAAAACGCCAAGCACAAAAAAGCCCUGAUUUUCCGCUAUGCUCCUCUGCCCGAGGAGCUCCACACAGUCUCCACUGGAGCGGGGCCCACGAGGUCCAGACCCGGGUUUUCCACCAGCCUGAGACCCUUGAGGUGCUGGAAAAGGUUGUCAAGGAUGCCCAUGAGAAGAAAACCCGGAUUCGGCCUGUCGGGUCCGGGUUGUCGCCGAAGGGAUUGGAUUGUCCAGGGCUGGAAUGGUCAAUUUGGCGCUGAUGGAUAAGGUUUUGGAGGUGGAUAAGGAAAAGAAGAGGGUGAGAGUGCAAACUGGGAUAAGGGUGCAGGAAUUGGUGGAUGGGAUCAAGGAACAUGGCCUUACUCUGCAGAACUUUGCCUCCAUUAGGGAGCAGCAGAUUGGUGGCAUUUUGCAGGUUGGUUUGUUUUUUUGUUAAGUUUGAUGUGGGUUUUGGUUUAACUCUUUCCAAUUGACUGGCCUUAUCACAUUUUGAUUUUUGCUAAUAUGAUCUUUCUCUUUGCCUCAUGUUCAUAUGCGUGUAGGUUGGUGCACAUGGUACUGGUCCAAAAUUGCCUCCGAUGGAUGAACAGGUGAUCAGUAUGAAGCUGGUCACUCCUGCUAAGGGAACAAUAGAAAUCUCUAAAGAGAAAGAUCCAGAGCUGUUUUAUUUAGCCCAGUGUGGCCUUGGUGGCCUUGGAGUGGUUGCUGAAGUCACCAUCCAGUGCGUUGAGAGACAGGAGCUUGUAGAGCACACUUCUAUUUCAAACAUGGAAGAGAUCAAGAAAAAUCAAAAGUAAUUAUUUAUUCCUUUCAUUGUUAGAUUUAUUGGUUUAUCUUUCAUUCAGAUAGUAAGUACAAAAUGCAUGAGUGUUGCUUGCAAGUUGCAAAUUGCAACAAGUUUUUGGAAAGAUGAAAACUAUUGAAUGUGAGGCAACCAUUGUUUGGUUUGGAGCUAGGAUUUUACAAUGUUUUAAGGGAUGGUGAAAACACUUCCAUUGAGUGCUGAGAUUUGGUGGCUUGUAAUGCAAACCCUUCAUUGAAUUUCAUCUAGUGAUUUUUUUUUUGAAGAAAAAAGAGAAACUACAAUAAAAACCACUCACAAAAAAGGUAAGUUAGAAAAAGCUCAAAUUUUGAAAAUUUUAGUCUUACUUCACAGCUGCUAACAAUACAACAUUAUAAAAGAGGGAUCAUUUCAGCUAGUGAUAGGAACACUUUCCAGUGAAACAAAAAAAUUGUCGAUCACUGAUGCAUCAACAUGUACAUGUGGUUCUUAAAUCUCAGAAGUCAUUGAUUAAUAAGGGUAAGCUCUAUGUACUGUUUUUUCUUAUUUAUAACGAAUUCUUCUCUCACUCUGUAUGUCCUGUUUUUGCUUAUUUUUAACGAAUUCUCUCUCUCUCUCUCUCUCUCUCUCUCUCUCUCUCUCUCUCUCUCGUAUUUUGACUCACUGUGCGCAUAUGCACCAUUAGUAUUAUAGCGCGAUUUGGAAUCAGUAAAUGAAUGAUACAUGAUCUGUUUGUUUCACAGGAAAUUACUAUCUGAGAAUAAACAUGGGAAGUACCUUUAUAUUCCAUAUAGCGACACUGUUGUGGUUGUGACGUGUAACCUGUAUCAAAAUGGAAAGGUCCCCCAAAGUUCAAGCCCAAAUAUAGCAGCGACGAAGCCAUACAGCACGUCUGAGAUCUCUACAAGGAAUGCCUCUAGAAGUUCAGGUAAAAUUGUUUCCUGGUCAUGUCAACCAUAUAAUCUAGCAAGAGAUUUUCUCCUGUUUGAGCUGAAGGACAAUAAGCUGUACAGGCUGAAUGUCUCUUAUUCCCUUUUAUCAUUUAUCAUUUUCUUUAUUUGUCAUAUUCUCUUGGCUUAGAGGACCUGUGCAAGUGCAAUAAAGUAAAGGCAUCAAAGAACUGCUAGAGCUAUGUGGUGAAAUGGGAAACAAAAACUUUUUGCAACAUGGUCUUAAAUGACUGCUCUUUUUCUUUCAUUUCUCUGUUUCAAUGUUCAGUGGCUUUGAUAUUCUAGAUUUCUUACUGCUGGAAAUUGGAACUCUGUUUAUAUACUGUUAAGACAAUACUCAUUAGCACUUAAUAUAGAUGCAUACGCUUAUACUCUUGUAAGCUUGGGCAAGCUUGGUUGGGGUUGGUUUAACCAAGGUCAAGCCAGGUUGUGAAAUCCCAACUGGAAUGUUGUAUGCAGGUUGGUGGGCAUGGAUUGCAAACUCCUAGAGUUGUCUUUGGUGUUGUGUUAGCAUAAAACGGAUUACUGGUCCUCCAUUGUUCUUCCUCUAUUAUCUGUUCUUUUUUGCUUCAUAUACUCAAAAACUCCCAUAUUGCUAUUGUGUUGAUAUCUGUUCGUUGCAGCUAACCAUUUACACAUUUUAUUUGAAGUGUAGAUCCAGUUAAGAAUGACGUGGACAUAAAUGAGCUGUCAUUUACAGAGUUGAGAGAUAAACUGCAUGUUGACAAAGAUCAUGUUGUAAAAGUUAAUCAAGCUGAGGCUGAAUUCUGGAGGAAGUCAGAGGGAUACAGAGUGGGAUGGAGUGAUGAAAUCCUGGGCUUUGAUUGUGGUGGUCAAACAGUGGGUUUCAGAAACUUGUUUUCCAGUUGGAACCCUUUCCAAACCAAGCUUGAAAGACCUUGAAUACAUAGAAGAUGUAAAGCAGCUCAUAGAGAAGAACGAGGUACCAGCACCUGCUCCAAUAGAGCAGCGCUGGACAGCAUGCACUAAGAGCCCCAUGAGUCCAGCUUCAAGUACAAAAGACGAUGAUAUAUUUUCGUGGGUAAUUUCAUG